UCUAACAUCCUAGUGCAUCUCUCCUCCGGCAAGAAGUUCCAACUUUCCCUCCAAAGACCAAACCAAAACUCUUCCCAUUCCUCUGUUAGCUUUCUCAACGUAUAGCCGUCUCACAGAGAGAGAGAGAGAGAGAGAGAGUUCCACCUAUGUCGAGCCACAAAGACGACCUCGAUCUCCUUCUGUCCCUCAGAGAGAGAGUUUUGGAUACCCCUCCAGGUUCUCCUUCACCCUAUUCACCAGACUUUUCAGGAUAUCUCUCGGAGGAUAGAUCGCCGAGGCAAAGUGAGAAGUCGGACGUGUCCGUCUUUAGAGACGCCGUGCGAGACUUCCUUGACUACGAGUACAAGCCGGUUCAGAAAGCUGGUAAAUUGAAGGGCUCGAAGGCCUCCAACUAUACUGAGGUUGAGAAAUUUUUGGGCUUGCGAAUAAGGAACCGCUUGGUCAGUGCAGCAGAGCUCGGUGUGCUGUUUUCAGAUGUUUGUUUCGUUCAGUUAUCAACUAUGAAGAACUUCUUGGUAGGGGACACUCUGCCGGGUUGUUGGGCAACUGUUGGAGUGUUGACCGAGAAGGGGACUUCAAAGACCAGUUCUACAGGAAAGAACUAUUGUAUAUGGAAGGUGGGAUGUCUAGAUGAAAAUACCGUUUCUCUUUUCUUGUUCGGUUACGCUUAUCAGAAGAACUGGAAAGAGCAGGCUGGAACAGUCUUUGCAUUGUUCAAUUGUGCUGUACGCAAGGAUGCAGUGGGUACAGGGUUUUCUCUGAGUGUGUAUUCUCCUACUCAAAUUUUAAAGAUUGGAACUGCAGUUGAUUAUGGAGUUUGUAAGGGAAAAAGGAAGGACGGAUGCCUUGUACAAUAGGCAUAAAUAAGUAGGUUAUGGGUACUCCUUGGAUUUCUUAGUAUUAUGGAAUGAACUGCUCACGACAUUCACUGUCAGUAAUUGAGUUUGAAAUAAAUCUAGUUGUGUGAAAUCAUAAGUGUGUCAUCUGCCAUGAUGAGUUGGUUCUAGAAUAGCCUUUCUCAAGUACUUGUCAACCAGUAAAACAUAGGGAUAGCAUUGGACCUACAACUAACAAGAUUAGAUAAAUACAAACUGAAAUCCACCACCACCGGAAAGGAGAGUUUCCCAUGAGCUCCUUGGAUAUCCGCUCUGUGGUUACUUUUCACAGAACCAUUGCUGAAAUUAGUCUUAAUGAUAAAUUUACUGGUUUGCAGUUUUCUGGGUAUAUCGGGUGAAAAUUGAAAUGCAAAAAACCAUUGAUCUGAUAUUCUGUAGCAUUAGCACAAUUACUUUUAGUUGAUAGGUCAAGUAAUGAGAAACACAAUAGGUCAAGUAAUGAGAGCAUGUGUUUGUGAGUAGCAUCUUCUGGUCUGCACUCGAAGGAUUGUGUGGUGAGCAUAUGGGUGGAAAAUGAACCAAAGGAAGCACUUUUGUAACUUUUCAUCAGAGGUCCUCGGUCAAAAUUUCAUGAAGGUAGGUCAUGGCAUUUUUAUAAUGUGCAUCUAUCAAACUCACCAUCUCAUUGUAUGGCAACUUGAUCAUUCGUCUUCCCAUUAGCAGCUGACCCAUAAUUCCAUUAUCGAUGUUGUGUGUAUUUUUGUAGCAUGAUAUUUCUUCUUAUCCACUGACCCACGAAAUUUUUUGAUAUCUCGAGUCUUCAUGGUAUUUCAGGCUCAGUGGAAUAUGUUGUAAAUAUCAUACAUUGAAAGCUUCAGAGAAAUGUGUCAGAAAUCGAGCUGAGCUCAAGGGAGGGUAGGUGAUUAGUGUGUAGUGUCAUACAACUCUUCAGGCCAUUAUCUACUAAUUGAACCUAGGAGCUGCAUUUAGGGAUUCCCUCACUCCGGAAGGGAUUUGCAUGGUUGAUUCUUUAGAAGACAGGAUAAAAUU